rnacentral:rRNA from 1 species
AUGAAGUCAGACAAGAGAACCCGCUGAACUUAAGCAUAUGAAUCCC